UUGCUUUUGAAGUUCCUGGAGGCUGGCAUAAUGAGAAGGAAGCUAUAGUUUUGACCGUUCUUCAGAUGCUUAUGGGAGGUGGUGGCUCAUUCUCUGCAGGGGGGCCUGGAAAAGGGAUGCACUCACGGCUAUAUCUCCGAGUCUUGAAUGAGUAUCAACAGCUCCAUUCUUUUUCUGCAUUCAACAGCAUCUUCAAUAAUACUGGAUUGUUUGGCAUCUAUGCUAGCACUACAUCAGACUUUGUGCAAAAAGCAGUUGACAUAGCAGUUGGAGAAUUAAUUGCAAUUGCAGUGCCUGGACAAGUUUCCAAGUUACAACUUG
rnacentral:misc_RNA from 1 species